rnacentral:rRNA from 1 species
UACGAAGGGGGCUAGCGUUGUUCGGAAUUACUGGGCGUAAAGCGCGUGUAGGCGGGUCUUUAAGUCAGGGGUGAAAUGCCAAGGCUCAACCUUGGAACUGCCUUUGAUACUGGAGAUCUUGAGUCCGGGAGAGGUGAGUGGAAUUGCGAGUGUAGAGGUGAAAUUCGUAGAUAUUCGCAAGAACACCAGUGGCGAAGGCGGCUCACUGGCCCGGAACUGACGCUGAGACGCGAAAGCCAGGGGAGCAAACGGG